rnacentral:SRP_RNA from 1 species
CUCCGGGUCUCGCGCGAUGGGUGCCUGCGAACCGUGUCAGGUCGGGAACGAAGCAGCACUAAGCUGGAUUUCUCAUGUGCCGUGAGGGUGCCUGGACUCA